rnacentral:rRNA from 1 species
GACGAACGCUGGCGGCGUGCUUAACACAUGCAAGUCGAACGGAAAGGCCCUGCUUGCAGGGUACUCGAGUGGCGAACGGGUGAGUAACACGUGGGUGAUCUGCCCUGCACUUCGGGAUAAGCCAGGGAAACUGGGCCUAAUACCGGAUAGGAGCCAUUUUUAGCGUGAUGGUUGGAAAGUUUUUUCGGUGUAGGAUGAGCUCGCGGCCUAUCAGCUUGUUGGUGGGGUAAUGGCCUACCAAGGCGGCGACGUGUAGCCGGACUGAGAGGGUGGACGGCGACAUUGGGACUGAGAGACGGCCCAGACUCCUACGGGAGGCAGCAGUGGGGAAUAUUGCACAAUGGGCGCAAGCCUGAUGCAGCGACGCCGCGUGGGGGAUGACGGCCUUCUGGUUGUAAACUCCUUUCGCUAGGGACGAAGCUUUUUGUGACGGUACCUAGACAAGAAGCACCGGCUAACUACGUG